rnacentral:tRNA from 3 species
GGGCCCAUAGCUCAACGGUAGAGCAACCGGUUCAUACCCGGUCGGUUCCUGGUUCGAGUCCAGGUGGGCCCACCA